rnacentral:rRNA from 1 species
GUUUGAUCAUGGCUCAGAUUGAACGCUGGCGGCAGGCCUAACACAUGCAAGUCGAACGGUAACAGGAAGAAGCUUGCUUCUUUGCUGACGAGUGGCGGACGGGUGAGUAAUGUCUGGGAAACUGCCUGAUGGAGGGGGAUAACUACUGGAAACGGUAGCUAAUACCGCAUAACGUCGCAAGACCAAAGAGGGGGACCUUCGGGCCUCUUGCCAUCGGAUGUGCCCAGAUGGGAUUAGCUAGUAGGUGGGGUAACGGCUCACCUAGGCGACGAUCCCUAGCUGGUCUGAGAGGAUGACCAGCCACACUGGAACUGAGACACGGUCCAGACUCCUACGGGAGGCAGCAGUGGGGAAUAUUGCACAAUGGGCGCAAGCCUGAUGCAGCCAUGCCGCGUGUAUGAAGAAGGCCUUCGGGUUGUAAAGUACUUUCAGCGGGGAGGAAGGGAGUAAAGUUAAUACCUUUGCUCAUUGACGUUACCCGCAGAAGAAGCACCGGCUAACUCCGUGCCAGCAGCCGCGGUAAUACGGAGGGUGCAAGCGUUAAUCGGAAUUACUGGGCGUAAAGCGCACGCAGGCGGUUUGUUAAGUCAGAUGUGAAAUCCCCGGGCUCAACCUGGGAACUGCAUCUGAUACUGGCAAGCUUGAGUCUCGUAGAGGGGGGUAGAAUUCCAGGUGUAGCGGUGAAAUGCGUAGAGAUCUGGAGGAAUACCGGUGGCGAAGGCGGCCCCCUGGACGAAGACUGACGCUCAGGUGCGAAAGCGUGGGGAGCAAACAGGAUUAGAUACCCUGGUAGUCCACGCCGUAAACGAUGUCGACUUGGAGGUUGUGCCCUUGAGGCGUGGCUUCCGGAGCUAACGCGUUAAGUCGACCGCCUGGGGAGUACGGCCGCAAGGUUAAAACUCAAACGAAUUGACGGGGGCCCGCACAAGCGGUGGAGCAUGUGGUUUAAUUCGAUGCAACGCGAAGAACCUUACCUGGUCUUGGCAUCCACGGAAGUUUUCAGAGAUGAGAAUGUGCCUUCGGGAACCGUGAGACAGGUGCUGCAUGGCUGUCGUCAGCUCGUGUUGUGAAAUGUUGGGUUAAGUCCCGCAACGAGCGCAACCCUUAUCCUUUGUUGCCAGCGGUCCGGCCGGGAACUCAAAGGAGACUGCCAGUGAUAAACUGGAGGAAGGUGGGGAUGACGUCAAGUCAUCAUGCCCCUUACGACCAGGGCUACACACGUGCUACAAUGGCGCAUACAAAGAGAAGCGACCUCGCGAGAGCAAGCGGACCUCAUAAAGUGCGUCGUAGUCCGGAUUGGAGUCUGCAACUCGACUCCAUGAAGUCGGAAUCGCUAGUAAUCGUGGAUCAGAAUGCCACGGUGAAUACGUUCCCGGGCCUUGUACACACCGCCCGUCACACCAUGGGAGUGGGUUGCAAAAGAAGUAGGUAGCUUAACCUUCGGGA